rnacentral:rRNA from 1 species
AGGGAAAAGCUCAAAUUUAAAAUCUGUUAGGUUUACCUAACCGAGUUGUAAUUUGAAGAAGCGUUUUCGGUGUUUAUUGGUUGGCCUAAAUCCCUUGGAAUGGGGUAUCAUGGAGGGUGAGAAUCCCGUACGGCUAAUCAUUACGCUUUACGAUACGCUUUCUAA